CAGGCGUGUGUCCAGCACUGGUUCCAUCUUGGUGUGGACUCCCAUCUGCAAGGCAGUGGGGAAGGACGAAAGGAGCAGCCUCCUGCUCUGCUUCCCCGUGCUGCCCUCCCGUGCACAGCCCUGCUCACCAGGUUGCUGGUCUGCCAGCCAUGCCCGUGGCAGUGUGUGGCUGCCAGUUUCUCCAAGCCUGGGUGGAAAGCGGCAUGGCAAUCAGCAGGCCUGGUGCUGGCACCUAGAGAGGGACCUGUGCUCAGCUAAGGGGUAUCAAUCGUUGGGGUGAGGGCAGAAUUUCUUGGGGAGCAUCCAGGGGUUCUUUGGGUACAGGAAAAAUACCGUUUGUGGCUGACUUAUCUGUCUUGUAUGGCAAGAAGACCGGUUAGAGAGCUGAGGACAGGCGUGCGUCCAGCUCUGGUUCCAUCUUGGUGUGGAUGCCCAUCUGCAAGGCAGAGGGGAAGGAUGAAAGGAGCAGCCUCCUGCCCUGCUUCCCUGCUCUGCCCUCCCCUGCACAGCCCCGCUCACCGGGUUGCUGGUCUGAUAAUGGUUUCCUUGGCCAUUUUGGGAUCACUGUGCCAGCAGCGCCGCCUUGCCAUGGCCACUGCAGUCAUAUACGGUGUGGUGCCGGCACCUGCAGUGGGGUUGGGAUUCAGCAAAAAAAGAGUUGAAGGUUUGGGGUAAGAGCAGGGGGAUGCUGUGGAGCUCCAUAGGCCUGUAGGUGCAAGACAGGCUACAGUUUGGGCGUGACUUAUCUUUUUUGUAGGACGUGAACACCAGUUUGUCAAAUGGAGCUCAGGCCCUGGUGGUCAUCUGUUUCCAUUGGUGUUGGGCUGUCCAUCUGCAAGGCAGAUGAGAGGCACGAGAGGAGCAGCCUCCUGCCCUGCUUCUCUGUGCUGCCCUCCCUUGCAC
ensembl:lncRNA